UGGGGAAUAUUGCGCAAUGGGGGAAACCCUGACGCAGCAACGCCGCGUGAUUGAAGAAGGUCUUCGGAUUGUAAAAAUCUUUUAUCAAGGACGAAGAAGUGACGGUACUUGAUGAAUAAGCUCCGGCUAACUACGUGCCAGCAGCCGCGGUAAUACGUAGGGAGCGAGCGUUGUCCGGAAUUACUGGGUGUAAAGGGAGCGUAGGCGGGAUGGCAAGUUGGGUGUUAAAUCUACCGGCUCAACUGGUAGUCGCACUCAAAACUGCCGUUCUUGAGUGAAGUAGAGGCAGGCGGAAUUCCUAGUGUAGCGGUGAAAUGCGUAGAUAUUAGGAGGAACACCAGUGGCGAAGGCGGCCUGCUGGGCUUUUACUGACGCUGAGGCUCGAAAGUGUGGGGAGCAAACAGGAUUAGAUACC
rnacentral:rRNA from 1 species